GAUGAAGAACGCAGCGAAAUGCGAUAAGUAAUGUGAAUUGCAGAAUUCAGUGAAUCAUCGAAUCUUUGAACGCACAUUGCGCCCCCUGGUAUUCCGGGGGGCAUGCCUGUUCGAGCGUCAUUUCACCACUCAAGCCUCGCUUGGUAUUGGGCAUCGCGGUCCGCCGCGUGCCUCAAAUCGACCGGCUGGGUCUUCUGUCCCCUAAGCGUUGUGGAAACUAUUCGCUAAAGGGUGUUCGGGAGGCUACGCCGUAAAACAACCCCAUUUCUAAGGUUGACCUCGGAUCAGGUAGGGAUACCCGCUGAACUUAAGCAUAUCAUAAGCGGAGGA
rnacentral:misc_RNA from 1 species